UCUUCAGUAGCUUAGUGGGUAGAGCGUCCGACCGGCAAUCGGACGACCUGGGUUCGAUUCCCAACAGAGAAA